rnacentral:rRNA from 1 species
GCCCAGCACCGAAUCCUUCACCAUGCGGGUGACAGGAAAUGUGGUGUUUAGGCCGUGCUUUGUGCUGGUACGUCUCUCCUCAAGUCCACUUGAUUGUGGCCCCUGGCCCAGAGAGGGUGUAAGGCCCGUGGAGGCGAGAUGUCCAGUGCCUGGUGCGUCCUUAGAGUCGGGUUGUUUGGGAAUGCAGCCCUAAGCGGGUGGUAAACUCCAUCCAAGGCUAAAUACUAGCACGAGUCCGAUAGCGAAGAAUGUACCGCGAGGGAAGGUUGAAAAGAACUUUGAAGAGAGAGUUCAAGAGUACGUGAAACCGCUGAGAGGCAAACUGGUGGAACUGAAAUGGUCUCGAGGAAUUCAGCCGUUGGUUGUUGUGCAGCUAGUGGUCUCUGAUCUCACGACAGGACCAUUGGAUGAGGCUUCGAUCAUCGGUGCACUUUCCUCGUUGUGGGCCCAACUACGACCGGUGAACUGAUCUGUCUAUCGUGCUUGGAAGGUAGCGUCAUCUUCGGAAGGCGUAUUAUAGACUUGCGCAUGGAGCAGUACGGUGCACUGGAAGAUAGUGCCUGCCUUUAGGCUCAUAUGGUGGCUGUUUUAUUGGCGAAAUUGAUGUCACUACUCCGGUAGGGGCGUUGAGUUGUGUCGGCAUUACGGCUGUCCUCUAUGAUUGGCACUGGUAAGUCUGUAGUUGUGAAGUAGGUAGUCCACCUGACCCGUCUUGAAACACGGACCAAGGAGUCUAACAUGUGCGCGAGUCAUUGGGUUCACGAAACCUAAAGGCGCAGUGAAGGUAAAGAUCUGUUAUUGGCAGAUUGAGGUGGGAUGCUGGGUUACGCGCCCGGCCGCACUACCGGCCCGUUCUACAUGUAUCUCAUGAGAGCGGAGCAAGAGCGUACACGUUGGGACCCGAAAGAUGGUGAACUAUGCUUGCGCAGGUCGAAGCCAGAGAAAACUC